GCACGCCUAACACAUGCAAGUCGAACGCAGUAGCAAUACUGAGUGGCAGACGGGUGAGUAACAUGUGGGAAUCUGCCUUGUGGUUCAGGACAACAUUGGGAAACCGAUGCUAAUACUGGAUAAGCCCUUACGGGGAAAGUUUUAAUGCCAUAAGAUGAGCCCGCAUUUGAUUAGUUAGUUGGUGAGGUAAUGGCUCACCAAGACAAUGAUCAAUAGCUGAUCUGAGAGGAUGAUCAGCCACACUGGGACUGAGACACGGCCCAGACUCCUACGGGAGGCAGCAGUGGGGAAUCUUGCACAAUGGAGGAAACUCUGAUGCAGCGAUGCCGCGUGAGUGAAGAAGGCCUUUGGGUUGUAAAGCUCUUUUGUAGGGGAAGAUAAUGACUGUACCCUAAGAAUAAGGUCCGGCUAACUUCGUGCCAGCAGCCGCGGUAAUACGAAGGGACCUAGCGUAGUUCGGAAUUACUGGGCGUAAAGCGCGCGUAGGCCGUUGAGUUAGUUAAUUGUGAAAUCCCAAAGCUUAACUUUGGAACUGCAAUUAAAACUGCUCGACUAGAGUUUGAUAGAGGAAAGCGGAAUACAUAGUGUAGAGGUGAAAUUCGUAGAUAUUAUGUAGAACACCAGUUGCGAAGGCGGCUUUCUGGAUCAACACUGACGCUGAGGCGCGAAAGUAUGGGUAGCAAAGAGGAUUAGAUACCCUCGUAGUCCAUACCAUAAACGAUGAUUGC
rnacentral:rRNA from 1 species